rnacentral:lncRNA from 1 species
AUGUCCCCGGCGCGCCCGACGGGGCGCGCCGGGGACAUCGUCGGAGUACCGGCCCCCGGGGAGGAGGGGGCAGUGCCCGCCGGUGCCUCCCCUCCCUGCCCCCGGGAACCAGGAAACGGCCCCGGCCACCUUCAGCUGGCAUUCGGCAGGGUAGUUCCCCGCUGGCACCAUCCCCUUGGUCCUACGUCCCCAGGUGGAGGGUCCUGUCCCCCACGCGGGGUGUGUAUGUGUGUGGGGUGGGUGGGUGGGUUGCUGGCUCUGGACAUGGCUGGGCAGAGAGGAGGGUGGUCACUGCCCCUGCUGCUGCUGCUGCUGAGCCUCGCCGUGCCGGACCUGGCGCUGGGGACCAACACCACAGAUAUGGCAGUUGGCAUGUCCCCGGCUCUCCCUACCUCCAACUCUACCACCACAGGCACCGCCCCUCCCUCCAGACGUGAAACCCCCUCCCCAGCGGUGCAGAUGGGUGCCUCCACAGCCAGUGCUACUCUGCAGGAGAAGGGUGGCACAACCCACAGCACUCCUGGGUCAGCUGCCGGCACCACGGUGCAGCCUGACCCCACUCCCGCAGAGCUGGGGCUCACCACCGUCACCCCAACUCCAAUCCCCACGACACCCCACUGUGCUGAGACGACCAUUGUCACGUCUGUGGGGACCAGCUCGGCCCUGGCCAUCACCUCGUUUGGAAUCAAAGCAAGAACACUGUCUUCCCCCACCUCCAUUCUGCUCUCCUCAACCCAGGUGGCCACCACACUUGGCACCAGCCAAGGGCCAGCUGUGACCACGCUGCUCAGCAGCACAUCCCCAGGCACUGGCAGUGCCUCUUCUCUGACAGCCACCUCGGACGAGCUGUCGACCACCCCGUCGUACACCACGGCUGCCCUCACGACCAGCAUGGAGGCCACCGGGAGCACCCCCAUCACCAGCCAGCCCGAGAGAACCACGACCGGCACCAGCCCUGGUACCUCCCCCUCGGCACCUAAUACCCCCAGUGCCUCUGUGGGUCGGGGCAGCCACGGGGCACCUGUGGGGCAGGGCGACAAAUCCCGGUGGGAUCUCCAGCCAGGGUCCCGGCUGCUUCCUCCUAGCGCAGCCCACGGCCGGGCGCCAGCCCUGGGGCAGCCACCCCAUCCCCACGCUGCUCCCCGUGUCCUGGCUGGGCUUGGCCACCCUGUCACGCAGCGGGGAUGGGGGGCUCCCCAAGACCCCCAUGCUGUGGGUGGGGGUGACAGCAGCAGGGUGGUACACCCCGGUAGUGUGGCUAUGUCCCGGCUGUACCCAGCUGGUGUGACUGUACCCCAGCAGUGUGACUGUGCCCCAGUGGUGCGCCUGUACCGCAGUACUGUAGCUGUACCCCAGUAG